AAGAAGGUGGCAGAAUGGCUAUGCGGCUGGCUUGAAACCAGCACAUGGGGGUUCAAUCCCUUCCCUUCUCG
rnacentral:tRNA from 1 species